rnacentral:rRNA from 1 species
CCUACUGGAGACAUCAUUGGGGACUAUUGCGCAAUGGACGAAAGUCUGACGCAGCGACACCGCGUGAGGUCUUCCUUUUUUCUUCUCUUCCCCCUCUUUCAUGCUUUCAGAAAGCGCAUGGCGCCAAUCAGCCAUGCGUUGACGGUACCUCCAAAGGAAGCGCCGGCUAACUCCGUGCCAGCAGCCGCGGUAAUACGGAGGGCGCGAGCGUUAAUCGGAAUUACUGGGCGUAAAGCGCGCGUAGGCUGGUGUGUAAGUUGGGGGUGAAAUCCCACGGCUCAACCGUGGAACAGCCAUUGAUACUGCGCGACUUGAAUCCGGGAGAGGGUGGCGGAAUUCCAGGUGUAGGAGUGAAAUCCGUAGAUAUCUGGAGGAACAUCAGUGGCGAAGGCGGCCACCUGGACCGGUAUUGACGCUGAGGCGCGAAAGCGUGGGGAGCAAACAGGAUUAGAUACCCCUGUAGUC